rnacentral:misc_RNA from 1 species
CUUGUUUAUUGAAUACAGGAAAACUACUUAGAAGUGUUGAUGUUGUUAGCUGGCUUCUAAGGCUAACAGUUAUUACAACUUUCUUUGUUCCAAUUUGGUUUGCAUUUAAGGUUAGCCUUGCUCAGGGCUCCUUGGUGCGUUAGAACGGGUCCCUGUUUCUUUCAUAUGCAUAUGGAUUGAAAACAUUAAGCUUAUAAAUUAUAAUUAGAUAUGCUUUAGGCUGGGACUGGCUUGGAACACCUUUUUAAGAAUAAGUUGCAAAUUCUUGUGAACCGGCUUAAUGGAAGGCAGCUGAUUGACCAUGUCAUUCAGCAGUUUUCCUUGUAAUAUGUGCUUUGUGGUUUAGAGUGAUGAUAAAAAUCCAUGGUCAUUUUUAACUGUUGUGUUUCAGUAACAAUUGUUUUGCAUUAUUUCUGCCCAUAAAUUUUGAUGCUCAGUGUUUUAUUGAAUUUUCUUUUUUGUGUAAAUGCUGGUGUAUAAUAUUUUAUUGUGGUUUUCAGAUGCCUGUGUUAUUGCAUAUUGCUUUUCUACAACGCUGUCAAAUAUGUGGAUAUAUUUAUGGAGUGAGGUAUUUGCCUUAUUUUGCUCACAACAUCCAUAUAUUCAAUGAAAUUAUAGUUGAUAACUUGACACCAUGCACUUGGCAUUUUUUUGCAUGAUUUUCCUUUGGAGAAUUCCAAGAAAUAUCACUGCAUCUUCUGACUGUCAAGUGCUAAUAGAUGUGGUUUGCGCUGUUAUAGUUCAUAACCUAAUACUACUAGAAUG